rnacentral:lncRNA from 1 species
CAUGUUAUGGAUUUGUUUACAUAGGAGCGUUGGGAUAUGAAUACAAAUAUAAUACUAAGCCUAUGAAUAUUUGUCAUUAUACAGAGGGAGACAGACAAAAAAGGCCCUGUUUCUGAAAGGAUGAUGCUGAUCCACCAUCUGUAGAAUUGGUACCUUAUUUUACUUUUUUAUGUUAGGGAUGAAAGUUCAAGUCUCCUCCUGGCAACUUCUAACCAUUUAUAAUUUGGUCUUCAGUAGAAUCUGUAGAAGAAAGAAAGUUCACUAAAUCACUGAUAAUUGACUUUGUGCUUAUGACCUGAAAAGUAAUAAUAAGACUAUUCUUACAUGAUCUACUGGAAAAAAAAUUAGUUGGUUGAUUUGGAUGUCGUUACCUAGACAAUUUAGAAAGGGACUACCCUUGUGGACAAUUGGAAGUGAUCAACAUUGUAGAAAAGAAACAAACGAAAACAAAUAAAAUGAAUUUUGCUAUUUUUCUUUUGUCA